rnacentral:tRNA from 1 species
GCAACAUAAUAAAGUGAUUUUGAAAGUCACUAAAGAUGUAUAAAUUCAUCAUGUUGCU